UACGAAGGGGGCUAGCGUUGCUCGGAAUCACUGGGCGUAAAGGGUGCGUAGGCGGGUCUUUAAGUCAGGGGGGAAAUCCUGGAGCUCAACUCCAGAACUGCCUUUGAUACUGAGGAUCUUGAGUUCGGGAGAGGUGAGUGGAACUGCGAGUGUAGAGGUGAAAUUCGUAGAUAUUCGCAAGAACACCAGUGGCGAAGGCGGCUCACUGGUCCGGUACUGACGCUGAGGUGCGAAAGCGUGGGGAGCAAACAGG
rnacentral:rRNA from 1 species